UUCGGGUAUAGAUCCUUAUGAUCCGUCUCUCACUACAUCAUCGCAAUCUUUCAUUUCUGGGAAAGAUCGGAGGCUUCAAUAUCAGUUAAGCGUGGAAAUCUGGAUGAAGUGAAGCUAGUGUUCUAGUUCAAGGGAAAUAAUCCAAGAUCUGGAGGAAUUGAAGAGCAGCAAAUAAUCCAUAAGCCAGCAUGUAUAAGACAACUAAAAUCAGCAUGGUCAUCUAAGAUAAUAGGUUAAGAUUUUACCUUUAUUUCCUGACUUUAGAUUAGUUUUUAUGCAUAUAAUGGCAUAGUUUGUAAUUUUGUUCAUUGCACUGUGUAAGGCAAUAGUUCAUCCAACUAUCAUUUAAUUUUUGCUUUGGCUGGGCUUUAUAUGAUACAGCCGAUGUCUCGUUUUAGACACUUUGAAUUAAACAGAAUCUUUUUAA